rnacentral:rRNA from 1 species
CAGGAUUAACGCUGGCGGCGUGCCUAAUACAUGCAAGUCGAAUGUAGCAAUACCAUGGCGAACGGGUGAGUAACACGUAGGUAACCUGUCUUUAAGCCGAGGAUAACCAUUGGAAACGAUGGAUAAUACUGGAUAGGACAUUUGAAGGCAUCUUUAGAUGUUUAAAGAUUUAUCACUUAGAGAGGGGCCUGCGGCGCAUUAGCUAGUUGGUGAGGUGAAGGCUUACCAAGGCGAUGAUGCGUAGCCGGACUGAGAGGUUGAACGGCCACAAUGGAACUGAGAACGGUCCAUACUCCUACGGGAGGCAGCAGUAGGGAAUUUUCGGCAAUGGGCGGAAGCCUGACCGAAGCAACGCCGCGUGAACGAAGAAGUAUUUCGGUAUGUAAAGUUCUUUUAUUAGGGACGAAAAGACAGAUUGACGGUACCUAAUGAAUAAGCUCCGGCUAACUACGUGCCAGCAGCAGC